GUCACGGUUUGCAGAUAUCAAUGUGACAAACGAGAAUGACUCACAAAAUAGUCGCUUUUUCGAUAUCAUUUUAAUCAUUAUUGAAUCGCUGGGAAAACGUUCCAGAAAAUAUGUUUGAAAGCUGUUUUGAGUUUUUUUUUAAUAUGGAAGAAUUAUUGUUGUCACGGAGGUCUUUAAAGUUCAUCCAGGAUGAGUGGACGAGCACGGGCUCAUCCGGAAAGGGGCUACAGUGACCUUCCAGGGACCCGAAACAUGAAUUACCUAUUACAAUUAAAGGGGUGUGGGGUAUAGGAAGUGUGAGUGUAGUCUUCACAACCAUCGACUUUAGAUACUGAACUUCAAAUUUUUUUUAUGAGGCCGUAAAUAAUUUAACACUGAAUUCCUCGAGCGAAAUAUUCUCUGAGUGUUAUUGGUUUGUAUAUCUGUGGAAAGUUUACUAGUUUAUAAAUAUUUUUCUUUUAUUGUUU